UACCUCUGGCAGUACUUUUGGUGUGUA
rnacentral:piRNA from 1 species